rnacentral:snRNA from 1 species
AUCGCUUCUCGGCCUUUUGGCUAAGAUCAAGUGUAGUAUCUGUUCUUAUCAGUUUUAAAAAAAUAAUAAUAACAAUAAAAAGAAGUCUAUGGUUCAUAGUAGCAUUAGUCAUAAUAGCCAAACAAUA